ensembl:lncRNA
ACUUGCUGUCUUUAGAGGGCUUGGCAGCUUUGAGGAGCACCUCAAAAAGAAAAAUACGACUUUCACAUGAAUUGCUGAAGAGGGCCUUAUUCCUUCCACGUGUACCACUCAGAGUUUUACCUGGUUGUCUGCAGGAUUAAGUGCUGGCUCUUGGGAUCCCAGUGUUCCUGGGCAGGUGCUGCAGCACAAUGAGUUGGGAUGGGUAUCUUUUCAAACUGCGACAGCUGAUUAUGCUGAUGCUUCUGACAAGCACUGGGGCUCCUGGGCUGACACCCAGGGAAGCAUGGGGAAGCAGGAAAAGAGUAAAGUAUCUGAGAUAUGCAUUAUGGAUGAAACUACAACAUUGCUUUCACAGUUGUGUCAUGAAGCACCUGAGGAAACAUGAGAAGAAGUUGACUUUCAAAAACCACUUGGAGACAGAAAUGCAUGGGGAAGGAAGACAUCUGAAGAAGCUGAUUUUUCCUUAACCUGAUGUUAAACAUAAAAACAUUUACAUUUCGUUGUAGGAAGGGUAAUUUGGCUUUCAAGGAAAGAAAAACAGUGGGCAGUCUCAGAAACCUCACUAUUUGGAGAUUUAUGCACAAGUUAAAAAUAUACUGAGGAAACUAGAAAUUUUUAAAUAUAUAACAUUUAAAGUAAAAAAAAAUUGAAAUCAGAAUAUAAAUCAAAUUUUUCCUACUGUGAAUAUGCCACAUUUUUACUAUGGUAUAACGUUCAUCUCAUGUACAGUGACUUCUAUACAAUACAUAAGACCUCAAAUCAAAUUUGAGCAUAUGCAGGUUGACUUGGAGCACUAGGAGUCCUUUAAUUAUCUUUUGAUACAAAAUCUAGUUCACAAAUUUCAAAUGUUGAGUCCAAUGCUUGGAAAUAAGUUUUUGAAACAGAGGGUUGAUUUAUCAAAAGAAAGUAUUUCAUUUUGCACAACAGACUUUUGGUACACUAUAAUAUCCUGUCACAAUUAAUGCUAAGGAAUCAGGUAUAUACAUGCAUAACAUCUCUGCAAGUUUACAAACCACUUUUUUAUGUAAUAUCGGUGGUUGAACAUUCCAAUGUUUUUUUCCAAAGCUUUCUACUUGAAUAUAUUCAUUGUUGGAAGAUUUUAAUUAGUAUUAUAAUAAUUCCAUACACUUACAACUGGCAUGCAGGGAUCAUAAGAACUUGCUUACAUGCCCCUUUCUCUUCUACUCAUUUAACAGCUGCACAACUAAUUUGGCAUUAACAUAUUUAUUCUUAAAUUCCUAUUGCAUAAAUUAGAAAACUGCCACAUCCUGUGUCUUUCCUAGGACUUGGAGUGAUGCUUUAUUUUAGUCUCAUAACCAGUCACAUUUCACUCCAUGUGAAGUACCUUUGCUAAUGGACAUAUCCAUUUCAUAUAUGACUGGUAUAUGAUGUCCCACUCAUUCCAUGUUUCAAAGAAAGAACAGAAAAUUCACUGAGUAAAGAACAGUGAUGCUGUAGCUGCAGGGGUACCAACUCCACAGUGGGAUUUAACAAGAUACUAUUUUUGGUACUCUAAGAUCUUUAUUGCUAUGGUAACACUUGCAACAUUUUAUUUCUUCAAAAUCUUUUACUGAAACGAGAUUGCACAAAUACAAUUUAAGGAAAGUACACACAUACACACCCACACAACUGGAAAAUAAAUGCAGACUUCACAAAGACUCUUUGGACUUU